rfam:Colletotrichum chlorophyti strain NTL11 CCHL11_scaffold118, whole genome shotgun sequence.
GUCUCAUUAGCUCAAUGGUAGAGCAGAAUACUUCUAAUAUUCCGAUCUUAGUUCGAAUCUGGGAUGAGAUA